CGGCGCACGGGUGCGUAACGCGUAUGCAAUCUACCUUUUACAGUGGGAUAGCCCAGAGAAAUUUGGAUUAAUACCACAUAGUAUAUCAUUUUCGCAUGGAGGAGAUAUUAAAGUCACAACGGUAAAAGAUGAGCAUGCGUCCCAUUAGCUAGUUGGUAAGGUAACGGCUUACCAAGGCAACGAUGGGUAGGGGUCCUGAGAGGGAGAUCCCCCACACUGGUACUGAGACACGGACCAGACUCCUACGGGAGGCAGCAGUGAGGAAUAUUGGACAAUGGGCGCAAGCCUGAUCCAGCCAUGCCGCGUGCAGGAUGACGGUCCUAUGGAUUGUAAACUGCUUUUAUACGAGAAGAAACCCUCCGACGUGUCGGAGCUUGACGGUAUCGUAAGAAUAAGGAUCGGCUAACUCCGUGCCAGCAGCCGCGGUAAUACGGAGGAUCCAAGCGUUGUCCGGAUUUAUUGGGUUUAAAGGGUGCGUAGGCGGUUUAUUAAGUCAGUGGUGAAAGACGGUCGCUCAACGAUUGCAGUGCCAUUGAUAC
rnacentral:rRNA from 1 species